UACAGAGGGGGCUAGCGUUGUUCGGAAUUACUGGGCGUAAAGGGCGCGUAGGCGGCUUGGUCAGUCCCGUGUGAAAUCCCUCGGCUCAACUGAGGAACUGCACGGGAAACUGCCUGGCUUGAGUUCGGGAGAGGGAAGCGGAAUUCCGGGUGUAGCGGUGAAAUGCGUAGAUAUUGGGAGGAACACCAGUGGCGAAGGCGGUCCCCUGGGCCGGAACUGACGCUGAGGCGCGAAAGCGUGGGUAGCAAACGGG
rnacentral:rRNA from 1 species